ensembl:misc_RNA Metazoa_SRP Metazoan signal recognition particle RNA
UCUGGGCAUGGUGGCGCAUGCCUGUAGUCCCGACUCCUCGGGAGGCUGAGGCUGGAGGAUCACUUGAGCCCAGGAGUUCUGCAGACUAAGUUCAGCAUCAAUAUGGUGACCUCCCGGGGUCGGGGGAUCAUCAGGUUGCCUAAGGAGGGGUGAACCGACCAGCCUAGGUCAGAAAUGGAGCAGGUCAAAACUCCUGUGCUGAUCAGUAGUGGGAUCACGCCUGUGAAUAGCCACUGCACUCCAGCCUGGGCGACAUAGUGAGACCUGGUCUCUC